rnacentral:rRNA from 1 species
UACAUGGGGUGCAAACGUUGCUCGGAAUUAUUGGGCGUAAAGCGCACGUAGGCGGUUCGUUAAGUCGGAUGUGAAAGCCCUCGGCUCAACUGAGGAAGUGCACCCGAAACUGGCGAGCUUGAGUACGAAAGAGGAUCGCGGAAUUCCCGGUGUAGAGGUGAAAUUCGUAGAUAUCGGGAGGAACACCAGUGGCGAAGGCGGCUAACUGGUCCAGAUCUGACGCUGAGGUGCGAAAGCGUGGGGAGCAAACAGG